CCGGGACUCGCCCCCGAGGCGGAUGCGCCGGCCGGACCAGCGGAUUCGCGGGUCGGGGUCACGCUGGUCACUCUGUCCCUGAUCUAACCCAGGGAUGCCUAGUGAUUCAACAGUGUACGUCCCAGAAGCGAAACUAACAAGAGCACGUAAGAGAAAACAGAGGAUCCCAAAAUGAAGACACUUGCUCAAGUUCACACAGCUGUUAAGUGGAUGACAAGGGGCCAGACUUCUAAGGUGCAGAUUGUCCCUGUAGAAUGGGAAGAAGACAUGAGUGGACAAAACGACUUAGGUAUUAUAGUCACAUUUCCUUCUAGGAGCUGGGCCUUCAUUUCCCAUCAGUGGUAUUUAUCAGCCUCAGUGAGGAACUGGACAUUUCAAGCAGAGACUGGAUUAAUGCUGGACAAAGAUCUUGUACAAGGGAUUUCGGCAUUACGUGGGCAGUUUGAAUAGAAGAUGAAUGACUUCUCAGAUCUAUUCACCAUUAUAAAUGUGGCUCUAGGCACUGGGGAUACAGCUAUGAAUGACACAUCCAUGGGACAAAUACCUAGAAUUGCUGGGUUGGAGGGGCUACUCAGCAAGGAUUCUGCCUUCGUAAAUUUCCAGAAGAGCAGCAGGCACCAAGUUCUACUUUCAUGGAUAUUUCCAGACUCUAGGAGAAGCCUAUCAAGGUCUUUCGGGAGACAUCUUACUAUGCUCCACUUGGUUUGCAACCCCAGUAGGAGACUUCAGAUUGUAUAGUUCAGUGAGCAUCCACCCAAGGGUGCAGUGCCAGUUUCUUCUUUUCCAGAUACUCUCAGUCUCUAAAAGUGAUUAUCUUGCCACCCUGCCGAUCUCUUGGCUUCAUGAGGAAUGAGGAAGCAAGCCUCUAGAAAUAUCUUUCACCAAGGACCCACGAGAACACUCGCCCUUGGAAACCAGCUGCUGUGCACUAAGAAACCCAAGUCACAUGGAUGGCCACGUGUUGGCACUCUGGUUGAGAGCCCCACCUGGGCUCCUAGCUGACAGUCAGCAUCACCUAGCAGCCAUGAGACAAAGCCCACUCUUCUCAUCUAGCGAGUUGCCUUCAUAUCUGUGAGAGAGGCCCACGUGAACUGAAUUUCAUGGAUUGCGGUGGGAAUUAAAGCUGAGUCCUGACUCUUAGUUCAUGAAAAAUUAUCUGUGCAUGGUAAUAACAUAAUUCUGCUGCAUCUUUGUCAAAAGUGAUCAAUAUUUUUGAGUUCUUGGUGAUCUGUGAUAGUGGAAAACUAUACAUUUUGAUUAAAAAUUUUGAAAAUCUAGAUUUUUCAUAAUAAAU
rnacentral:lncRNA from 1 species